rnacentral:rRNA from 1 species
UACAGAGGGGGCAAGCGUUAUUCGGAAUUAUUGGGCGUAAAGGGCGCGUAGGCGGCCGUGCAAGUGGAAGGUGAAAUCCCUCGGCUCAACCGAGGAACCGCCUUUCAAACUGCAUGGCUUGAGUCCGGGAGAGGUGAGUGGAAUUCCCAGUGUAGCGGUGAAAUGCGUAGAUAUUGGGAGGAACACCAGUGGCGAAGGCGGCUCACUGGACCGGUACUGACGCUGAUGCGCGAAAGCGUGGGGAGCAAACGGG